rnacentral:lncRNA from 1 species
GGGACUUAUUUUGUAGGUCUCUCCAAUGCCAGCAUCCCUGCACUAGGACCGUACAUCUGAUUUUCAACCUAAAACGUCCGUCUUCUCGCCUCGAUCGAUUUGAGUAGCAAUAAGAGGAAAAAAGCUAUCACUUUUGCCCUAGAUAGAGAUCAAGCUGCUAUUAAUGCUUCUAACCCUUUGGGGCUUGGCUUAGAUCCACUUCCUCUACAUGGUC